UUUUGCUGCAUUAGAAAGUUCAGCUAUUCUUUCUCUAUUCCUUUUUCUUUGUUCUUGUUUCUUUCUUCUUCAUUUGCUCUUACACAACAUCAUCUCUCUCUCUCUCUCUCCAAAACAAUAGAUAUCUCGCUCUAAAGAAGAAACUGAAAGAGUAACACUAAAGUUUUAGCUUCAAAGUUUGUGGGUGUUACCAGCCCCCAGGUCUGAGCUUCUUCGACUUUAGGCUCUCGGUUCCUCUGCUUUCAGGUAAGGGAUAAGUUAUAUGAUCAUUUGGUAAGUCAUAAGGUUAUUUUAAAGUAUAUUAUGAAUUAAAAUGUUUUUAAUUAGAGAUAUGACAUAUAAUCAUGUUUUAGACAAAGAUAUGUUCGUGAGUUUUCAAAACCUUAUAUAUAUGAUUUAAGCAUAUUGAUGCUAUUACUAAUUCCACAAACAUGAUGUUUAAAAAAAACAAUGGAAAUGUUUUUAUUAUGAAAUGUUAUGCAAACUAUGAAUUUCAGUAUGAUGAAUAAGUAUGAAAUGUUUUUGGAUAAUGUCCUCUGGUGAUCUGAACUCAACCAGUAAGGGUUAAAUUACUGGUUUUCAAUAGAAAAUGUUAUCUAAUUGGUCAUUAAAAGUGGAACUGGCUCUGCUGUACCUACCUUUGUUUGUUACUGCCAACUUGUGGAGAAUGUCAACCGACCCCCAUGGUUGAAGAUAUGUAUUAUGAUAUGAUCCCAUGAAUCCCUGGCAUUGUGGGGAAUGCUGGAUGCCUAGCACAGUGGUGCUAGAAGCCUCCCAAAUAAGUACAAACUUAUUAGAUAUGGACUAACCAAUAUGUUAUUUAUGAAUAGCUAUAUUAUGUUAUUAAUCAUGAGAGAAUGAUUUUGUUUAAAUGCAUUGUGAAAAGUUAAAAGCUUUCAUGAAAAGAAGAAGUUUUUAAUGAAAAGAAAUGCUGUUCUUAAAAGAUAAAAGCUUUUGAAGUUCUGUUGUGCUUUAAAGAUAAAGAAUCUGAUGAAAAGGUUUUAGUAUUCUAUAAAGAUAACGCUUUGAUGAAAGUACAAGGUUAUGUUAAAAAGUUAUCAGAUAUUUAUUUUUUAUGAAGCGUUAAGUUUUAUGGCUAUAAAAGUUAUAAUAUUUUAUGAGAAGAAGUUUAUGAAGAAAAGCUUUGUUAUUCCUUAAGAUGUUUCAAGUUUAAGACAAAGUUACCAAUUAUCUGAUUUAAGUUACAAUGAUUAUUUUGUAAUGAGAAUAUAUAUAUGUAUAUAUGUAUAUAUGUAUGUAUGAAUAUAUGUAUGUAUGUAUGUAUGUAUAUGAUUUUAAAUAAUCAAUAUUAUAUUUGGUGACUUUGUAAGAAAUGAAAGAAGUUCAAUCCGAAAGGUUUUGGUAAUAUUAUUUUGAUAAAAAAAAGGAGAACAAUUAUUUUCCUAUGAAAAGCGUAUAAGUUAUUAUUAUGAAUAGUAUAAAAUACUAUGCAUGAAAAGAUGUUCUCCUAUCUGAAUAUUUAUAAAAUGAAAUGAUUUGAUUUACAUGCAUUCUCAUUAAAUUAUUGUGUAUCUUACCCUUACUAAGCUGGGUAGCUCACCCCUUCCACUCUUUCAGUCAACAAGUUUUAGUUUGGAGUAAAGGGGGCCUUAGUCAAGUUUUGGAAGGAGUUGGUUUUAGUUUUAAAAGUAUAGAUCCCAAAUUAACAAUUUGAUGUUUAGCUUUGUAGUAUUAUGUAUUUUAGGAUCUAAUGAAAGUUGUGUACCUUAAAGCAUUAAGAGAUGUAUUAUGUGAAAUUUAGAAUUUGAGUAACUAGUGGAUUAUAUUAUUCUUGGAAUACAGUGUAGAUGCUCUAAAUGUCAAUUGAAAAGUUAUAUCAUUUAAGUAAAGAAACAAGAUUGAAAAGAAAGAGGGAAGCUUUUGUAAAAGUUUUGUAAAAGUUAAGUUGGUUCUUGUUAA